GACGAACGCUGGCGGCGUGCUUAACACAUGUAAGUCGAACGGGAAGGCCCUGCUUUUGUGGGGUGCUCGAGUGGCGAACGGGUGAGUAACACGUGAGUAACCUGCCCUUGACUUUGGGAUAACUUCAGGAAACUGGGGCUAAUACCGGAUAGGAGCUCCUGCUGCAUGGUGGGGGUUGGAAAGUUUCGGCGGUUGGGGAUGGACUCGCGGCUUAUCAGCUUGUUGGUGGGGUAGUGGCUUACCAAGGCUUUGACGGGUAGCCGGCCUGAGAGGGUGACCGGCCACAUUGGGACUGAGAUACGGCCCAGACUCCUACGGGAGGCAGCAGUGGGGAAUAUUGCACAAUGGGCGGAAGCCUGAUGCAGCAACGCCGCGUGCGGGAUGACGGCCUUCGGGUUGUAAACCGCUUUCGCCUGUGACGAAGCGUGAGUGACGGUAAUGGGUAAAGAAGCACCGGCUAACUACGUG
rnacentral:rRNA from 1 species